UACGUAGGGCGCAAGCGUUAUCCGGAAUUAUUGGGCGUAAAGAGCUCGUAGGCGGUUUGUCGCGUCUGCCGUGAAAGUCCGGGGCUCAACUCCGGAUCUGCGGUGGGUACGGGCAGACUAGAGUGAUGAAGGGGAGACUGGAAUUCCUGGUGUAGCGGUGAAAUGCGUAGAUAUCUGGAGGAACACCGGUGGCGAAGGCGGCAUCCUGGACCGACACUGACGCUGAGGAGCGAAAGCCAGGGGAGCAAACGGG
rnacentral:rRNA from 1 species